AUUUGAAUUCAUUUGUCCCGGAGCCUCGCGUCAGAAACACUUCAUACUUGUACCUCUGGGAUAGGGUCCUGGUGUCGCUCACGUCCACCAGAUGCCUGGAAAGGGGUCCUCGGGCACCGAGCAGCGACCCAAUGAGGCCUCCCUGCUCCUCCUGCACAGCCGCACCGCCACGAACAGGAGCACCGAGAAGAGGAAGAACGACGACACCAAGGCCAACGCCACCACCAGGUAGACACAGCACGAAGAGUGAGCUGUCGUUGGCGUCCAGCACCAGCACGCGCACCAGCGCCUCGCUGCUCAGCGCCGUGGAGCCGCGGUCUGAAGCGCCCACGCGGAACUCGAACUCCUGCAGGGCCUCGUAGUCCAGCGACCUGAGGGCGAACAGGUGGCCGUUGUCUGUGUUGAUGGAGACCAGGGAGGCGAGGGGCAGUGCUGACGCUGCCAAUAUGCAGGGCGGGGCUGUUGUUCUCGCGGACGAACAGGAAUCGCGGUCUUGAAUGCUGAAAAGAGCUGCAACGGUCUCAGGAGAAUUUUCGCGGAUGGGGCUUGUGAAUGAAGCCAUGGUCAGUUCCGGAGCGUUAUCGUUGAUAUCUACCACCUGUAUUAUGACAGUGCAUUUUCCAGAAAGACCUGCCCCAUCAGAGGCUUUAAUAUCCACCUGAUAUGACACAAUUUUUUCAAAAUCUAGUUUUCUGAUUAUUUUAAUUUCUCCCCUUCGUUCAUUAAGUGCAAAUGUCUUAGAAAUCUCUUCAUCACCAUAAAAAAUGAGUAGAAUAUCUCACCAUUAAUUCCCAUGUCUGAAUCUCUAGCGGAAACAGUGGCAACAA
rnacentral:lncRNA from 1 species